rfam:Rattus norvegicus chromosome 15, whole genome shotgun sequence.
GGAGAUUUAGCUCAGUGGUAGAGCACUUGCCUAGCAAGCGCAAGGCCCUGGGUUCAGUCCCCAGCUCCG